GCCCGUGUAGCUCAGCGGAAGAGCGCCGUCCUCACACGGCGGACGUCCCAGGUUCGAAUCCUGGUGCGGGUAC
rnacentral:tRNA from 1 species